rfam:Spirochaeta sp. JC230 contig71, whole genome shotgun sequence.
UUUAGAGGCUAGGUUGUCGCUUACAUAUUUUUACUAUGUAAGAGGAAAGUCCGGGCUCCAUAAAGUUGACACCGGUUAAUGACCGGGAGGGAUUUCCCUACAGAAAGUGCCACAGAAAUUAGACCGCUGGAUAUCCAGUAAGGGUGAAAGGGUGGGGUAAGAGCCCACCGGCAUUGGGGUAACCCAGUGUGCUGGUAAACCUUGUCAGGAGCAAGAUCAAGCAGUCAGGAAGAGUUUUGUAUUCAAAAUGCCUGGCGGGUAGAUUGCUAUAGUUCAUGGGUAACUAUGAAUUGAGAUAGAUGACAAUCUGAAACAGAACCCGGCUUACUAGCCUUUUUUUAGA